rnacentral:rRNA from 1 species
UUUUUGAUUUUAAUUUAAAGUAGGGCCUGCCCMCUGAAAAUUUUGAAGGGCCGCAGUAUUUUGACUGUGCAAAGGUAGCAUAAUAAUUAGUUUUUUAAUUGAAAGCUGGAAUGAAUGGUUUGAUGAGAAAAAAUCUGUCUCAAUUUAAAUUUUUUAAAAUUUUAUUUUUAAGUUAAAAAGCUUAAAUAUCUUUAAAAGACGAGAAGACCCUAUAGAGUUUUAUUUUAAAAAAAUUGAAUUAAUUAAGAAUUUUAAAGUUUAAAUUUUAUUAAAAUUUGGUUGGGGUGACUAAAAAAUUAAAUUAACUUUUUUUUUAUUUUUACAUUAAUUAAUGAUUUUUUGAUCCAUAUAAUUUGAUUAAAAGAUUAAAUUACCUUAGGGAUAACAGCGUAAUUUUUUUUUAGAGUUCUUAUCGAAAAAAAAGGUUGCGACCUCGAUGUUGGAUUAAAAUUAAUUUUUGGUGUAGAAGCUAAAAAAUUAGGUCUGUUCGACCUUUAAAAUUUUACA